rnacentral:rRNA from 1 species
UGGGGAAUAUUGGGCAAUGGGCGCAAGCCUGACCCAGCAACGCCGCGUGAAGGAAGAAGGCUUUCGGGUUGUAAACUUCUUUUGUCAGGGACGAAGCAAGUGACGGUACCUGACGAAUAACGCCACGGCUAACUACGUGCCC